AAAGAAUCUGCAGAUCACACCGUGGGACCGUGGUUACCUCCAGCCGGUUGCUGCAGCCUGAGACCUGGCAGGGAUCUCCCUCCCCUUUAAUGACCUCUGCAUUUUCAGCAUGACCUGAAUGUAUUUCCUGAUCAUGACCCCCUAUCAUCAGCUCAUCCAACAAGCUUCCUGGUACAUGCUCCACAGACAAUGCUGCAAGCUGGUUUAGGAGAAGGAAACCUGGGGAGGUCGUCUUUAACGCGGCUCCCAUGCUCCACAUCAUUCCAAGCGAAGGGCCUUAACUGGCUUGAGACAUUUACCACUCGGACCUGAAGUCCACUUUACUAAGGAGAGACAAUGGCUCUAAGUGCCUGUGUCAUCUCGGACCCAUCAUUAUUUAAAGUCAGUUCAAGAUCACAAACAUUUUCCCAAAUCUAUGUCGGUUAUCCUGGUGAUUUCCUGCGCUGUGCUGUACAUUAGGAUAUGGAAAUGUCAUUGCUAAUGAAGUUGGAAACAGCAACAGUGAAUAUGUGCCAAACUCACAUCGAAGAUCCUGCCCAGGCAUUUGUAGAAACAGAUGGAAUACGCUCAGAUAGAGGAGCCAUGAUGGUGACUUACACGGCUUGCUGAGAGCACUCAGGGGUGGCCCCUGCUUGGAUAGCUCUAGAGGAGUCCAGGUGCCAUGGGCAUGGCGUGUAGAACAUGGUUUGCAGGUGCCAUCCUGACUCCUGACAUAUGUGGAUGCCACAAUGAGAGUUGCAGACUCACAGAAAUGCAAUUUAUCUUGGCAUGUGCUUUUGGCAGCUUGAAACCAACUUCAUUACAGAAGAAAAAAAAUUUUUUUAAAUUAUAACACAAGCAGGUGGCUUGAAGUCUUUCCAAUGGAAACCGGGCACAAGAACAUGAAGAUUACAGCAGAUACCAGAAGAAAGUGUCAGAUCCUCUGGAACUGGAGUUACAGACAGUUGUGAGCGUCCUUGUGGGUGUGGAGAAUUGAACCUGGGUCCUCUGAAACCAGUUAAGUGCUUUUAACUGCUGAACCAUCUCGCCAGCCCUCUUGUAUUCAUUUUACUUCUCAAUUACAAUUUACUUCCACUUUAAUUAGAAUACCUAAACUUCAUUUACUACCUGGUAGUAUUCCAUGUCUUUUGGUUCUUAACCUUAUAAGGAUGUAAUGGAACGCAUGUAUUUUUACUGCAUCUUCAUGCUGUGUUAUCCUCAUUAUUGUUGUUGCUUCUCCCUUCUAAACACUAUGUUCACUACAUGAAUGAAUGUUCCUUAGACCUCAGUGCUUUGUGAGCUCUGCUACACUCAAUGUGUUUUAAUCUUUUGAGAUUAAUUUUAGCUAUCCAACUGCUAGCAAGUGAAGAUUGUUAGACAUAUGCUUAAAAUAAUAACUCUUUAAUUUUCUGAUAAUUCCUGGGAAUACUUUGAAAGAUUAAAAAAUUAAGGGAAUCAGC
ensembl:lincRNA Gm11986 predicted gene 11986